rnacentral:rRNA from 1 species
CUCCCAAACCCCUGUGACAUACCUUAAUGUUGCCUCGGCGGAUCAGCCCGCGCCCCGUAAAACGGGACGGCCCGCCAGAGGACCCAAACUCUAAUGUUUCUUAUUGUAACUUCUGAGUAAAACAAACAAAUAAAUCAAAACUUUCAACAACGGAUCUCUUGGUUCUGGCAUCGAUGAAGAACGCAGCAAAAUGCGAUAAGUAAUGUGAAUUGCAGAAUUCAGUGAAUCAUCGAAUCUUUGAACGCACAUUGCGCCCGCUGGUAUUCCGGCGGGCAUGCCUGUUCGAGCGUCAUUUCAACCCUCAAGCCCCCGGGUUUGGUGUUGGGGAUCGGCUCUGCCCUUCUGGGCGGCGCCGCCCCCGAAAUACAUUGGCGGUCUCGCUGCAGCCUCCAUUGCGUAGUAGCUAACACCUCGCAACUGGAACGCGGCGCGGCCAUGCCGUAAAACCCCAACUUCUGAAUGUUGACCUCGGAUCAGGUAGGAAUACCCGCUGAACUUAAGCAUAUC